UACCCGCAGCACAAGUGGUGGUCAUUAUUAUUGGGCCUAAAGCGUCCGUAGCUGGCUUGUUAGAUGCCUGGGUAAAUCGAUGCGCUCAACGUAUCGAACACCGGGUAGACCGGCAAGCUUGGGACCGGGAGAGACGUGAGCUACUCGAGGGGUAGGGGUAAAAUCCUGUAAUCCUUCGGGGAGGACCAGUGGCGAAGGCGUCACGCUAGAACGGCUCCGACAGUGAGGGACGAAGCCCUGGGGCGCAAACCGG
rnacentral:rRNA from 1 species